AGUGAACGCUGGCGGUAGGCCUAACACAUGCAAGUCGAACGGCAGCACAGUAAGAGCUUGCUCUUACGGGUGGCGAGUGGCGGACGGGUGAGGAAUACAUCGGAAUCUACUUUUUCGUGGGGGAUAACGUAGGGAAACUUACGCUAAUACCGCAUACGCCCUACGGGUGAAAGCAGGGGAUCUUCGGACCUUGCGCGAUUGAAUGAGCCGAUGUCGGAUUAGCUAGUUGGCGGGGUAAAGGCCCACCAAGGCGACGAUCCGUAGCUGGUCUGAGAGGAUGGUCGGCGACACUGGAACUGAGACACGGUCCAGACUCCUACGGGAGGCAGCAGUGGGGAAUAUUGGACAAUGGGCGCAAGCCUGAUCCAGCCAUACCGCGUGGGUGAAGAAGGCCUUCGGGUUGUAAAGCCCUUUUGUUGGGAAAGAAAAGCAGCAGGUUAAUACCCCGCUGUUCUGACGGUACCCAAAGAAUAAGCACCGGCUAACUUCGUG
rnacentral:rRNA from 1 species